rnacentral:rRNA from 1 species
CUCGUAGGCGGCCAACUAGUCAGACGUGAAAUCCCUCGGCUUAACCGGGGAACUGCGUCUGAUACUGGAUGGCUAGAGGUUGGGAGAGGGAUGCGGAAUUCCAGGUGUAGCGGUGAAAUGCGUAGAUAUCUGGAGGAACACCGGUGGCGAAGGCGGCAUCCUGGACCAAUUCUGACGCUGAGGAGCGAAAGCCAGGGGAGCAAACG